rnacentral:rRNA from 1 species
UACGUAGGGGGCAAGCGUUGUCCGGAAUCAUUGGGCGUAAAGCGCGUGUAGGCGGCUCGGUAAGUCCGCUCUGAAAGUCCAGGGCUCAACCCUGGGAUGCGGGUGGAUACUGCCGGGCUCGAGUCCGGAAGAGGCGAGUGGAAUUCCCGGUGUAGCGGUGAAAUGCGCAGAUAUCGGGAAGAACACCCGUGGCGAAGGCGGCUCUCUGGGACGGUACUGACGCUGAGACGCGAAAGCGUGGGGAGCGAACAGG